rnacentral:pre_miRNA from 1 species
GUUUGUAUUCUUCCACAGCUUUCUUGAACUGCAUGGCCAAUUAUUAUUACCCAAAAAAAGAUUAAAGCAAUUUGAUGUUGUAUUUAAAGUGCAGUUCAAUAAAGCUGUGGGAAAAUACAGAUA